rnacentral:rRNA from 1 species
UGAAUACGAGACGCUAAGGCGUCGAAGUAGUGUAUGUCAUACUUCCAAGAAAAGCUUGCACUGUCAUAAGUAAAAAAUGCCUGUACCAUAACCGACACAGGUGGGUAGGUAGAGUAUACUAAGGGGCGCGAGAUAACUCUCUCUAAGGAACUCGGCAAAAUAACUCCGUAACUUCGGGAGAAGGAGUACCUUAUUCUAUAAGGUUGCAAUAACAAGAUCCAAGCAACUGUUUAUCAAAAACACAGGUCUCCGCUAAGUCGUAAGACGAUGUAUGGGGGCUGACGCCUGCCCAGUGCCAGAAGGUUAAAGAAGUCGGUUAGCAUUAGCGAAGCUGGUAACUGAAGCCCUGGUGAACGGCGGCCGUAACUAUAACGGUCCUAAGGUAGCGAAAUUCCUUGUCGGGUAAGUUCCGACCCGCACGAAAGGCGUAAUGAUUUGGAUACUGUCUCGGAGAGGGGCUCGGUGAAAUAGACUUGUCUGUGAAGAUGCGGACUACCUGCACCAGGACAGAAAGACCCUAUGAAGCUUUACUGUAACUUGAAAUUGAAAUUGGACUUUAUUCGCGCAGUAUAGGUGGGAGGUGUUGAUUAUAAUCUUGCGGGAUUAUUGGAGCCAUCAGUGAGAUACCACUCUUGUAAUGUUAGAUUUCUAACUUUGAAUCAUUAUCUGGUCAAAGGACAGUUUCAGGCGGGCAGUUUGACUGGGGCGGUCGCCUCCCAAACGGUAACGGAGGCGUACAAAGGUUUCCUCUGAACGGGUAGAAAUCGUAUCUAGAGUGUAAAGGCAUAAGGAAGCUUGACUGUGAGACCUACAAGUCGAACAGGGACGAAAGUCGGUCUUAGUGAUCUGACGGUACUGAGUGGAAAGGCCGUCACUCAACGGAUAAAAGUUACUCUAGGAUAACAGGCUGAUCUCCCCCAAGAGUUCACAUCGACGGGGAGGUUUGGCACCUCGAUGUCGGCUCAUCGCAUCCUGGGGCGGUAGUACGUCCCAAGGGUUGGGCUGUUCGCCCAUGAAAGCGGUACGCGAGCUGGGUUCAGAACGUCGUGAGACAGUUCGGUCCAUAUCCGGUGUAGGCGUUAGAAUAUUGAGAGGAGCCUUCUUUAGUACGAGAGGACCGAGAAGGACAUACCUCUGGUGUACCAGUUAUCGUGCCAACGGUAAACGCUGGGUAGCUAUGUAUGGAGUGGAUAACCGCUGAAAGCAUCUAAGUGGGAAGCCCACCUCAAGAUAAG